rnacentral:rRNA from 1 species
GGGCCCGCACAAGCGGUGGAGUAUGUGGUUUAAUUCGAUGCAACGCGAAGAACCUUACCAGGGUUUGACAUCCUGCGAAUCUCUUGGAAACGAGAGAGUGCCUUCGGGAACGCAGUGACAGGUGGUGCAUGGCUGUCGUCAGCUCGUGUCGUGAGAUGUUGGGUUAAGUCCCGCAACGAGCGCAACCCACGUCUUUAGUUGCCAGCAUUUAGUUGGGCACUCUAGCGAGACUGCCGGUGAUAAGCCGGAGGAAGGCGGGGAUGACGUCAAGUCCUCAUGGCCCUUAUGGGCUGGGCUACACACGUGCUACAAUGGCAGUGACAGAGGGACGCUACCAGGUGACUGGAUGCAAAUCUCAAAAAGCUAUCUCAGUUCGGAUUGUCGUCUGCAACUCGACGGCAUGAAGUCGGAAUCGCUAGUAAUCGCGUAAC